rnacentral:rRNA from 1 species
UACGAAGGGGGCUAGCGUUGUUCGGAUUUACUGGGCGUAAAGGGCGCGUAGGCGGCGUAACAAGUCACUUGUGAAAUCUCCGGGCUUAACCCGGAGCGGCCAAGUGAUACUGUUGUGCUAGAGUGCGGAAGGGGCUACUGGAAUUCUCGGUGUAGCGGUGAAAUGCGUAGAUAUCGAGAGGAACACCUGCGGCGAAGGCGGGUAGCUGGGCCGACACUGACGCUGAGGCGCGAAAGCCAGGGGAGCGAACGGG